UUCCACAACCGCCGCCGCACCACCGUCUCCCGGAGCAGCCACAGCCGCCGCAGCAGGAGCUAGAGAGAGUGGUGAGACACCGAAUUUAUCCUGGAGGUAAUCGACGAGGAUGCGUGCUUCUUCUAGGGUCAGAGACGAGAUCUCGGAACCAAUCUUCUCGAUUUUCUCUGGAGCUUCGACGGCGGCGACGGGACGGAGGUUGAUUGCGCGGUGGCUGAGCGUGGAAGAAGAAGCGCCAAAGCGAGCCGGGAAUUCGACUCCGGUGGGUCGGGAAGGAAAGCGAUGGACGGAAGCGAGAGUGGGAGAAGAUGAUGAACGGAUUGAGCUUGCGAUGGAAAGAGUCGUCGCUGCCAUUUUCGCUCUUCCUCUUGGGAUUUGUUUUGUGUGUCUCUCUGAGUGUGUUUGUUGGGAUAGAUGGAGAAGAUGAGAGGAUAAAAAAACCAAGGAUAAGGGGUAAUUUGGAAAAUAUAAUAUAUGCGUACGCUUGCUGUAUUAUGCGCGUGUAUACACACCAUGGGACUUAAAAGCAAAAAGGGGCGUUCCGAGAAUCGAACUCGGGACCUCUCGCACCCAAAGCGAGAAUCAUACAACUAGACCAAACGCCCUCGUUGAUAUAUUGAGCCAUUUUUCUACUAAGUCCUCAAAAAUAUUCAGAGUUUGUAGUGGAACUGUGGAACAUUCUCCAUUUCAAAAGAAGCAUAUACAUAAUUGUAUUCAGAUUUUAUACUAGUGUACUCGCAUUGAUAGCCUACUAAUACCAAUGUUGAUGGACACCUAAUCUUUUUCAGCUUUCUACAAUAUUUGUUGCUUUUGUUUUCGCAUCUGUAGUCUAAUAGAACGUUGUAAAAUCUUAGAGGAAUGCCUUCUCUGCUUCAAAGCAGAACAACUCUUUCUUCAUUCUGCUUUAUAUGAUUGGUGAAGACAGCUACUUUGGAAGCCAUGCAUGUCUCAUAUAGUCAAAAGAGUCAUACUAUGUUCAUGUCUCCUAAAUCCGUGUAUGAGUAUGUGACUUCUCCCAUUUCCUAUUUGAAGCUAGGCAUUUCUACAAACAUGUUAUCUACUUAUCUGCAGUUACUAAAGAAGCACCCUACAAUGGCUAAAUCCCUUUUCGGAAUCCAAAUUGAUUCACAUUACAAUAAUUUCUCAAACCUGAAUCAACAAUCCCAGACGCAAACUAUGCUAAACAACACCAAACAAACAAAAAACGUUCCAUAAAAUUCCACAAAAGAAGAACACUUUUACAUUUCCGAAUUUCAAGAAGUUUAAGCAAUGGAAACCUUAGCACCAGCUUCUUCAAGCUGCUUCUUCGCUUCUUCAGCUUCAUCCUUCGUCACACCCUCCUUGAACUUCUUCGGCAACCCUUCAAUGAGCUCCUUGGCUUCCUUCAACGCCAAGCUAGUCAAAGCCCUUACCGCUUUGAUCACUGCAAUACGGUUACUGCUUGGCACUUCGUUGAUAACCACAUCGAAUUCGGUUUGCUCUUCCACCACCGCCGCCGCACCACCGUCGCCCGGAGCAGCCACAGCCGCCGCAGCAGGAGCUAGAGAGAGCGGCGAGACGCCGAAUUUAUCCUGAAGGUAGUCGACGAGGAUGCGGGCUUCUUCGAGGGUCAGAGACGAGAUCUCGGACCCAAUCUUCUCAAUUUUCUCCGGAGCUUCCACGGCGGCAAUGGGACGGAGGUGAGUUGCACGGUGGGUCAGUGUGGAAGAAGAAGCACCAAGGCGAAAGGGAAAUUCGAUUGCGGAGGGUCGGGAAAGGAAGCCAUGGGGAGCGGAAGCGGGAGUGAGAGAAGACGAAGAGCGGAUUGUGGUUGCUAUGGAAAGAGUCGUCGCUGCCAUUUUCACUCUUUGAACUCUUCGGAUUUGUUGUGUGUCUCUCUGUCUGUGUUGCUAAAUUGUGCGAGAGACGAAGAAGAUGAGGAUAAAAAAAACCAAGGAUAAGGGGUAAUUUGGGAAACUCAAAAAUACUAACCAUUGCUAUUGUGCACCUAUACACAUCAAGGAAGUUGUACCGUUCAUAGGUUGACGAAAAUACCCUUGAGAAAGGUAAAUAAAUUAAAAUGGGCCAUUCGGAAAAUCGAACUCAUCACCUAUAUCAUAAAUAAUGACAACGAAGGGUCACAAAGACUUUUGAAUAUAGAGUUCACAGUGAAACAAUUUCCCUUUUUCUUUUUUUGUCAACAACUUUGUAGUGGAAACAUUCUUUUAAUUCAAAAGAAGCAUAUAAUAAUCGUAUAUGUAAAUCACAUCGUGUUGUUUCGAUUUCUCCCUUCUAUAUUUUUCCCACCAAUGCUACAAACAAGAGCAAAUCCCAUUUCCUAUGAAUCCAAAAACCUCCCACGUGUUUAAAAGGCCUGCAAAGAGGUUUUUCACCAUCUACGGCGUCUCCUCCCAUACCAAAACGCAAACGCAGCCACAGAUGCAGCAACAACGACUCCAGUCGCCGCGUGCCAUAUAUGCAAAGGCUUCUCCACCAUCACCACUCUUGAACACUGCCUCGCCAUCUCUGAGCUCGGAACUUCCUUAACUUCCGGAACUAUAUGCUGACUCACCACGGUCUGAGCAAACCCAAGUCCUUCUCUUCCCAGUUCUUCCAAGUCAGUCACAGCUGGUUUCAACUGUGUCGCCUUUGAGAUAGUUUCGUAUUCUUCUUUAGUCCCUCCUUCAAGAAAAGACCCAACGAGGUGACCUUUUUUAACCCAAUAUGCUCCAAAGGCUUUACCGACUUCAUACUCCCCAAAGUGCACAACUUCACCUACAGGGUCUCCGUAGAACUGCCACGAGAAGGCAAAGACCCUUGAGUAGAAAAACGGCAAGAGGUCAAAAUCUCCGGUCUUUUCUGGCUCCAUGAUGGCUGAAACUGCGUGGCGUGCAGAUUUCCUAGCCGAGUCCACAUGCUCAAGCCUCCUCGUUUCGCCAAAUAGUUUCACUGGAAAUGUAGCUACAUCGCCUAUUGCAUACACCGAGCUGUCACUUGACUGCAUUUUGCUGUUCACUUUUAUACCACCUUUCUCUAUUGUUAGCUGUCCUUCAAACAAGCUUGUGUUUGGUCGUAUUCCAAUUCCAACCACGACCAAAUCUGCUGGUAACUGGUUCCCAUCUUUGAGAUUAACCGCCGUGACCUGCAAUUCGAAAUCCCAAAAAGAGCAUAUCAAUAAACAAACACAGCGAACAAUGCUCAUGAUUCUUUCCAUCAUGGGAUCAGGAGACUCCGUCGUUGUAUUGAUUCUUUCCAUCUUUUAGUUCUAUACAUAGAUGCAAAAAACCAGACAUCUUUCAAGUUGAAUCUCAAGCUUAAAAAAAAAAAUAUAUCUAACCUUUUUAUUCGAGUCAAACUCAAAUGAUGUCAAAACCGUUCCUUUGAUGAAUUUCACUCCUUUAGCCCUGUAGUAAUCUUCAUACAAAGUUGCAAUCUUGGGCGUAAAGAGACGCGCCACUGUCAUAAGAAACUGAAAAAGGUCAAGCCAACCACACAGACACAAGCUUUCUCUUUUUUACAUGUAAGUUGAGUAAUAAUGGAGAGUACUUACUGCAGUGAGCCUCUGGAAAAACCAUGGUCACAUUGAUCUUGUUGAUCACUAAAGAUGCAGCACACUCCAUGCCGAUAUAGCCACCACCGAUAACAACAGCAUUACCAUUGGAGCUUGAUUGGAUCGCAGUGGAAAGCCUAUUUGCGUCGCUCAGAUCUCGUAAGUAACAAACAUUUUCAGCAUCUGAGCCUUCCACCCCAAAUUCUUCGAGCUUCAACGGCUGCUUCCACAUGUGACAAUAAUAAGGCCACGACUUUAGCAGUUCAAAGCUCUAAGCUUUAAAAUAGUACAAAUUCCUUUAAAAUUGUCCAGGAUAGAGCAUAUUUGCCAUAUCAGUGUUCACAGCAUCUAAUAGACGUUCCAGUAUUACAGAUCCAUUGACUUCAGUCCAUUUAAGACUCUAGUGAUAAUAAGUAAUAACAGAUUGUAACAUCUCAAAGACGAUAAUAUGAUGGUGAGAACCAGUAAUUUAUCAUAUACGUUAAUGGCACCUUCUCACCUGCAGACGCUCUUACUUCGGAAAAACGAAAUCAUAUAUAUUAUUGUGCAAUCCAUACCCUGGCACCUGUUGCGAUGAUCAAGAAUUUGUAACUUAUAGUCUCCCCGGUGCUCGAUAAAAGAGUCUUCCUCCUCACAUCAACGGACUUAACACGAGUUCCAAGCACUAAUUCAAUUCCUGACAAGCAAGUCACAAAAUUGUCAGAGCUUACUCUCAUAGUCAUAGCCCAAGUAAAGUAGUACUUUCUCAAAAUUGGAUGUGCACAUGUAGUUACCAUGUUCCUUGUACCAUUUCGGGGUGAGCUUCUCAUCAUUAGCCCCAACACAAGUGUGGAAAGAAGGAAGGCGUGCAGGAGCUGCAGAUAAGAUCGUGGGUUAACCCUUACAGAGCCUAAUGAGUGAACUAUAACUGAAUCCCUUAGUUCUUGAGAACAUUCUAUACAUCUUAGCUUCCCCAAAUACCAAAAGCAGAAAAACGCAAGCUAUCACGUUUCUCUUACCUUCUGGCAGCAGAAAACCUUUACUUAACGCGGGCCUCUCAUAUGGUGCAACCUAGAGAAACAGAAAAUGCAGAAGCUAAUUACUUACAGAGGGAAACACAUCAUAUCCCUUUUCCUCCCUCUUUAAUAUUGAUUCACAACCAAUACUUUAUAAAACAAGCAGUGAAUGGAAAAACAUGAAUCACAAAUCAGAAGCAUUUCUUCCAUAGAGAUUCGAGGACUGUUUGCCUGUUUGGAACUAAUCGGUAAAACCAUAUCCAGAGCAUAUGUCACCAUAUUUGGAGGCUAGACGCUAACAAUGCAUUGAUGUGCUAUUAGACAUGGCGAUACUCGAUAUUCUUAGUCCAUGUAUUGAAUCUUGCAAGCUACUCUUUAAUUACUUUAACUUCACCAAAUGCCUCAAUAUAAUACAAAUUUCCACCGUAUCUUCAGUUUCAGUGAGAGAAUUCCAAGCAUGAGUUGCAAUUAAGACUCGAUGUAGAGAACUGAGAAUUUCAAGAACCUUGUGCAAAACCCAAAUCUUUAUGGAAAUCCACACGGAGUUCGUAUAGUAGCAUUACACCCUAUUAGUAUAAAGUAAGAGAAAAACUCUAGCGAUAAGAGACAAAAGAGAUAGAGACAAGCCUAACCAAUUUCAAUCUAAUAACACCAUCAAACCACCAAAUUUUAAAACGAGGUCAAAAAGAAGAAACUUUCAAUUAACACUAAGAAUUCCAAAACCUACCGAUAGUAAAACCAACUACAGAGUCACACUAAAAAUCCAGGUGAGAGAGCUAAUAUAUACUUCCUCAGAUGAAUCAGUAAAGGACCCACCAAGAACAACAAGAAAGAAAAAGCAAAUCAUAGAUAAAUUUCUUCUCGCUAUCAAACAAUAAAACUCAAUUUUUUUACGGGAGCUUACGGGUUCUUCGGAAAUGAUGCAGAGUUCGCCAUCGGAGACACCUCUCCGCGUGAAUUCGAGAGCUGCAUAACCAGCAGCAACACCUCCUCCGAGAAUCACAUACACGAACGCUCUUCCCAUCUCGCUUAGUUUCUCGUGAAAAUCCUAAACAUCUACGUAUAUGUAUUCUAGUGAAUGGAUUUUGUUUUUUAAAAAUAAUUUUCCCGAUAAAAUAAUUUUUUGAGGCACACAGAAUAGGAAUUUUUUUUUCUGUUAUCGGAUCUUUCCCACCAGUGAAUGAAACUCGACGAUUGCAGUGUUCAUUUACAAUUGUACCCCUCUUUGACUUCUUUACUAACGAACGGUGGAUGUUAAUGUUAAACAAGCGAUUACACAAGAUCUCGACCGUCCAUUUCUGGAGAAAGUUGUCACAGUGGGACCCAGUUUAGCUCUUUGCUUGCACGACUUGCUUGGCCCAUCAUCAUUGGUAAAAUGAUAAUAAUAUAACAAAUAUCAGAUCGUCAGAAUGAAAUCUGAUAAUAUGUUGAACAGAUUAAUACAAGUAAUAUAUAGAUGCAUGCAUCAAAGUUAUCCACAUCCACCUCCAAAUCCCAACUAUGCACAUAGUUUUUAUUCUCUUAUAAAUCACAAAAUCACAAACUGUAGACUUGGAGAUGUAAACAAAACAAAAAAAAAAAACAAAAACAUGUGACGAAUGAUAGUUAGCCGCGUGGCAAGACCAUGAGGUAGUUGGUAUUGGGAAGUGUGGUCGAGAUGAGGAUAUGAUGCCCCGAGAAUUCAAUCCAAAGCGUUAAAAGCGAAUUUUUUAUAUAUGUCGCAAGACAAAACCAAACUUUUAUCUUAGACUUGUUGGUUGGAGUUUUUUUUUUUUUUUUUUUGUGUUAUUGUUGGUUGGAGUUUUUCCAUUUCUCUGCCAAGUGGCUCUAUACAGGUAACUAACUAUUCUCUAUUUUAUCGAACUCUCUCCGUUUUCGCUAGAAAAAAAAAUUCUUAUUUUUUUUUGUUUCAUAAACAUAAUAGUUUUUACUUUUAUAGACUUUCUUAUUAACAACAAGGCAUUUAUGUAUUUAUUUCUUAGAACACGUUAAUGUAAGUUUUAAGCUUUUUAUGGUGAUGAGAUUGUGUUGACUAUUGAGUGCUAAGUAUGUUACAAAGACGAAGAAACUAAAAAUCCUCUGGUUCAGAACAUAAAAAUAAAUGCUCAAUCGGGCUUACCCUUUGGGUUCUUCUGCCAAUAUAUAUAUGGGCCUUCUCUCACAUGCAGGCCGUAAAUGUAAAAGACACAGCACAGUGUAAACAACCAACAAAAUAUAUAGUUUGUUUCGGUUGUGAUAAAACAAACAUAAACGCCUUAAGUGAUAAAACAAUCCAAAUUUCCACAGAUUUCAAAAAUUAUUUUAGGUGUUGGAGGGUUUGCCAAAUUAAAAAAAAAAAAAAACAUCAUUGGUAAUUUGGUAUAUAUAUAGAGAAGGGCCGAACAUCUCCUAGAUAAAAGUCUUGAGACAACUGACAGUCGUAUGAACCAAUUUAAUUGUCUUUUCUAUGUAAAUGAUUUAAUCAUUAAUUACAGCUUAUUUAACUAACAGCCCGGUAAUAAUCAAAAUCUUGUUACGCAGAUGAGCAGCCGACUUCAACAUUAACUGAGGAUAAAGAAAGUUAAAAUAUGUCAAACUCAUCAACACGGGAAGAAAAUGGUUUAUGCUAUAUAUAGAAAGUACAGCUAAGGCAUAAGGCUAGAACAAUGCACAAGCAAAUAAAUGAACGAAACAAAAGAGAGGAUAAAAAACCCAAUUCCUCCACGUUUAUUUAUGUGUAAAUUAUCAACCACUUGUAUAUAUGUUUGUGACCGACCUGCCAUGUGAUUUUUCCUUUAUAAUUCACAUGGGAAGUCGACAAUUCCCACAUGAUAAACACGUUGGCGUAAUAAAAUAAAUAAACAUGCGGCCCAAUUCCAUAUUAAUUCUGGUUAUAAAAUAUAAUAUAAGCAUGUAAUCUGGAUAUAAUUAAGAUACUAUAGAUUAGUCUGAGAUGUAUAUUUUAAUAUAUUUUGUUUGAUAAAUAUUGAAAACUCCAGAAUCUGGUUCAUAAGUUUUUUUUUUGUCCGGAUCAACCAUUGAUAAUACCACAUUUAAGACGUACAUAUAUAACUAGUGAUUUUGGAAACUCCCAGGUCCCAAGUACUACUAGACCACUUCUCACUUGGUUUUAUAUUGAAAUCUAAAAAUAAGAACGAGAAGAAAAAAAACUCAUUUCAAAAUACUUGUUAAAAAAUUCUUACAUCAAAAAGUAAGACACAAAAUAUAUAAUAGCUAUUGAGGCUGAAAGCAGUUGAGGUUAUAUGCAUAAAUUCGUCUAUUGUGUACUUUAUUAUAUGACAUUUAAUAAAUAUGAUAUUUGAUCUAAAAACCAAUUUAUGUUUUUAGACAUAAAUAUCUAAUUAGAUCAUGCAUAUUUCAAAAAUUCAAUCUUUAAAUAUUCCCGGAGCAAGUGAUCGCUUAAACAUGUAUGUCUCUCAUUUAUGUUUAUUCUAGUUACAAACUACAAACAUAAAUUAUAAACUUUUCUCAAAAAAUAAACAUAAAUGAAAAAUGUUUUGUUAUAGAAAAAUAGUUUAGAAUUCGAAUGACGACGUAAAGACCAGACGGUCCAGACCGGAAAAGAUAAUGCAUGCAUUGGACCAUUGGUUCGUUCCUUGCUACAAUGCACUAUUGUUUGUUCCGUUUCCUUUUUUACACCGCCGCAAUAUAGAUCUCAAGGAGUAUAAAACAUGAAAAUAGUUUUUUCAUUUUUAUAUAUUAAAAAUCUACCCUAAAAAAUGAAGACGCUACAAGACUACAAGUUAUAAGUGUAUUCGCGCUCUUUUUAAAAUUAUAUAUAUAUAUAUAUAUAUAUAUCAAAUUCAAAUUCAAAAUAUAUCAAUUAUAUAUAUAUAUAUAUAUACAUUGCCCGUCAAAAAUGAAAUAUCAAUUAUUCCUAUUCUAGCCAAUGCAUAGAGAAGAGGAAGUGGAGUUUGGAUUUAUCCUCUACACAUGCUUCGUUUGGACAAAAUGUGUCGCUGGCAUAGGACUUAAAGCUAAGAAGUUCGGUAAAGCUUAAAUGCUUUUGCCGUCUUGCUAUAGUGCUUACACUCCCCCACCUAACAUCAUGUCUAACAACCAAUUACUCAUUUUAUGUUGAUAAUAAACCUAUAAAUAUAAAACACAUAUAAUUCCAUGAAUAAUAUAUCUCAGAUAGUCGACUCAUAUUGGCUUUUAUAUAUAUAUAAUUGCGGCUCAGUUACUGAUUACGUUCCUAGCUCAUCGUAUCUUAUUUUUUGUCCCAUGUUGGUAUAUAUCUAUUUUAGGUGUAAAUAUUUAUUGUUUUGAAUCAGGAUGAACAAUAAAAAGAAGAAUAAAUUGUUCCUUUUUCCUUUUUUUCUUAAAAAACAAAUCGAUAUCUUCGCCUUAAAGGUUGUGGUUUUGGCUAGUGGAGUUAGGCUCACGUUGGGUUCUACAUGUUGAAUGGCGAUGCACAAAAAUGGAUAAAAAUUGCUGAAUAAAGGCAAGGACAACUGUACCGAAAGCUAUCUAUUUUUAGCCCUCAUCUGACACGUGUUUUAUUAUAAUUGGUGAGAUUAGGUUCUGUAUGUUUAUGUCAUGUGAUAUGUAUAUAAAUCGAUCCACAUGUAUAUGUAUACACACGCAACUCAUGUGUUCGUGAGUGCAUAUAUAUGGACGAAGAAUCAGUUCGUCUCGAUUACCAUACGCUUAAAAUAAUUAUUCUGCUCUGUUUAAAUUUUUAUUUUCUUACGUCUUCCGAUGUUUUAACAUUACAGGAAGAAAAGUUGUUUAUAAACUGUACGUAUAUAUGUUAACUUAGAUUCAAAUGUGCUUAAAUCAAUUCGUCAAUGAGUAGUUGUAUGUUCUAUAACGUUAAGUAUGCGGGUAAAAGGUUUUGUUUAACAGAACUACCACACUAUUAUAGUACUGUAUAUGUUUGGGAUGGUAAUUAGGGGGAAAAAUCCCUUUCAAAAAGGUACAUUUAUACCAUGAUUGACGCAAUCAUUUGCAAAUCCAGUGGAUCACAUAACUCUUAGAAUACGCAUAUACAACCAUUAUAUAUGUCAACGGGAUCAAUUACUUUCUCAGUUCAUGAAUAUUGAUCAUGUUAAUUAUUAUUUUUAUUUUUGGUAGGAAAUGUGAUAUGUUUUGUUAGCUUUUAGACAAUUGCAACAGAAUUUCCAAACUCCCCCUAUAUAAUUUUUAAUUGCUUUUUGGAAAGAUUAUUCUAAAGCACAAUAAAAAAAUAAUAACAAAUGGAUUUUAAGGAUAGUUAGACGUUUUCAAUGUUGGUUAAUGUGUAAAAGCUACAAUAAUGUAUUAAUGUAUAUCGGUAUGGAACAGAGGGAAAUUAUAAACAAACGUUAUAUAAAAAAUAAAUUAAUCAUGUGUAAAAAUUAAGUAGCUAGGUUCUCAUAUAUACAAUCUUAAGAUAAAUUAUUUUAUUCCUACGAAUAAAAAAUCAGAAGAAUAAGUCACCCAUUUCAGUUUUAUUUAUGUAUAACAUCAAACGGGGUGCAAUAAAGUUCAAAACAUAUACCAUCCAAGGAUUUAGAUAAUUACCACCAUAUAUAAAAUUUAUCCCAAAACCUCUAAACAACGAGGCAAAAACCAUAUACAUGUCACGUACGAGUCAUAUUACUCCUAAAAAUCACAAAUCUCAAAAUAAUAUAUAUUUCAUAUAUUGUUUUCCGAUAUGGAUCGAGACUAUAAUUGAUAAAUCAAUUACCAUUGAGUAGAUGCAUCGAUGACCAAAUAUCAUCCAUGCCCCAAUAGUUUUCACCGGUUUGAUCAUCAACGGUCAUCGGUACCGAAUAAUCCGCUGUUGCAGUUGCCCCUGCCGUGGAAUAAUUUCCCGCUGAAUAGUUACCGUAGUUGAAUUCCAUAUUGGUAUGUUGAUACGACGUUGUUGUAGGAGAAUAAGUCUCCAUCGCUUGAUCUUGUGUACAAAAGACAUUAUGGCUCGUUGUGCUUGCAGCUUGAUCGUUGAUUUCUGAGCUCUGAUGAGAUCCAACGGAUGACGUCGUUGUUGUUGUUACAUCGGUUUGUUUGAUGUAUUUUUGGAUUCUUGUCCUCCAAAAGUUUUUGAUCUCGUUGUCGGUUCUUCCUGGAAGGUGUUUAGCAAUUUUUGACCACCUGUUCAUAUAAUUUAGAGUCAAUUAAUUAAUGACAUAACUAUAUAGAUUAUUAAUAUAAGAUUUGAUGAGCUAAUGAUUGUGUGGGGUUAGAAAUCUAAUCCGUGACUGCAUCGGACCAAGUACGUUAAGAUGAAUCCAAAACAUUAAGGUUUGCGUCUAUUUCAAUUAUGCUUUUCCUUUUUGUCACUAGACUUUUUACUUUUGUACUAUAUAUUAUUGCAUGUACUAUGUUUGGAUCUUUGUAAAAAAAAACAGUUCUUAAUAAUUUUGUUGUGCUAAUAAGCCUUACAAAGUUUAUUGCUUAUUCUUUAGUUAAAAGCGUUACUUUUUUGUUUGUUUAUUAAAAGGAUUUGUAAAGCGGAAUUUUAUGAUUUAGUAAAUGCUUCCUAUCAAAAAAUUUUUUUUUUAAGAUAUCAGAAAGGUGAAACUAGUUUAAAACCAGGAAAAAGGUUAUAAAGAAAAAAAAGUAAAACUCUAAUUCAAGAAUUAUGAAGAUUUAAAGUGUAAAUAUCAUUUGGCUGCUAAAGUCCUUUUUUGAAAGAUUUUGACAGGUAUGAUAAGGUCUUGACGGCUUGACCUAGACCUAAUAACCUAUUACACUUUUCCGUAAUUAGUAUACACAAAAGGAGUUAACUGUAGAUAAAAUGAUAACUUAAUCGCACUUACUUGAAAAAUGCGAUACUUUUUAUUGAAUUACAGAAUCAUGUACCUUGUAAUCUUGGGCCAUAUUUUCCAGCUCUUUGCAUAUAAAACAAAUAAAAAUUGAAAUUCGGAUAAAACAAAACAGACAAGGAAAUAAAUAAAGGCGCGUACAUAUUUCAGAAACGUGGGAAAUCACUUGAUAAUUUCGAGAGACUUAUAUUCCUUUAUAAAUCAUUAAGAAAAAUAUCUGGAAAAAUGUAGCCACGAGUUUCGAUUAAAAUAGGCACGAGGUUUUCAUGUUGUUCUUUAUAAAAAGCACGAGGUUUAAUGUUAGUGGCUAGAAAAUUUCGACACGUGCAAAUACCUCAGAACUAACGGCUAAGAACAAACUUCGAUCAAAGGGUGUCACAAUGGAAUUAAACGCUUUUUUGAUUUAGUCACCAAAUGUGUUGCUUUAUUGUCUUUUCAAAGAUCUACGUGGCAUAUAGCCUCAAGAGUAUAUAAAGGAUUCAAUAUUCGAAGAUUUUGCCUUUGUUCUUUAAUUCUUUCGUUACACAUAGUGUAUGUGUAUCUAUGUCCGUGUCUACAUUCAUUUAUGUAAAUUGAAACUAACCUAUUUCCCCACUUAGCAUGAAGUUCCAUGAUGAUAAGUUGCUCCUCCGGCGUGAUGUUUCCCCGUCGUACGUCCGGGCGGAGAUAGUUCAGCCACCGGAGCCGGCAACUUUUUCCGGUUCGUUUUAGACCUAUACAUUCAUAUAAUCAAUCAUCACAAUCAAUAAUUAACUCGUACGUAUGUGGAUAUCCCCAUAAUUGUAAUUAGCACAUAUGUGUAUAUAUAUUAUAAUCAUGCAUGCUUAUCAAAACAAAGUUAUAGAUUUUUUAUCAUCUUACAUACUUUUGUUUUAUCAUUCCAUUGUAAGAUUAACGUCUUUGAUUUUUUUUUUUUUGGAUUUAGAAAUAUUCUUUAUCAACAAACGAAUAAAAGAAAUCAUUACUCGUUUCUUAUCUAUAUAAAAUGAAAUAAUAGAUAAUAAAAAUAUAAUAUCGAUUAAUAUGUGUAUAUAUAUAUAUAUAUUUAUGGAAGAGACGACAGAAAGAAAAAUAUAUGAGGAUACCUUUGCAUGUUAAGACAAAACCCUAGUUCAUUAUAUUAACAUAUAUACAACGUAAGAGAUAUAUAUAUAUAUAUAUGUGUGUGUAUACAUGUUAUUGUGCUUAAAUAUAAGUGAAAUCUUGAUUUUAAAAAAGAUUAAAUGAACCUGCAGAUUUCGCGAGAGAGUUCCAAACGCCAUCUCCGUGGUUUGCAAUAUAGUUGAUGAGAAUAAGAUCUUCUUCCAUCGUCCAUGGUCCUUUUCUCACCUCCGCUUCACUUGAUGAUCCCGAACCUCCACUACUUAUUCCUCCUCGUUUCUCCAUUUUAUUCUUAUUUAUUUAACUAUCAGCACGAUCUAGUUUUAUAUAAUUUAUAUCUAGAGAGAGGAAUAUGAAAGAUGAGAGUGUAAGAGAGAAGGUUGAGGUGAGUUGAUAUUGAAGGUUGUGGAAGGUGAGCUACUGCUUUUAUAGAGACUAAAUUCACCGCGUGAUUAGCAACCCUUAAUCCAAAUUCUUAAUUAAUUAUGUAUUACAUUAGCUUAAUUUUUUCAAUUAAUCACAAUUUUUUUUCUUUCAUUUUUUGGAUUCAUUUUAUAUUAAUAAGUACAUGGGACUAUAUAUAAUACAUUAAAUUACCUAACCAUAUACAAUAACAUAUAUAGUUUCAUAUCAUCCAUAUGUCCAUAUGUAUAUAUAUAGGCUAAAGAGUGAAGAAAUUGAAGUCUUUGAUGCAUUCAUGCAUGGAUGAUGUAAAUAUAUAUACAUGCAUGCAUUGCUAAUUUAGUUUCACAUACAUAAGCAUGCUUCUUUAUGUGUAGAAAGUAUACCAACUCAUAUUGUUUUCCAUUUAACCGUGUAUAAAGUUAUUCAUUUAGGAGUGUAACGUGUUUAUGUGUUGUAUGUGUAUGUAUAAAACGCUAGUAUUAGGUUCCAUUGUAAUUAAAACCAAAGACACAUCAAUGUGUUAAGAGUACUUAAGAACAAAGCCAAUCAACAAACGAUGACGAAAAUUCAGUAGUAUCAUCUUUUUGGUUUAGAGUAGCAGCCGAUUUCUACAAUACACAAUUUUUCUGAUACUACGAAACAAGUACUUACCGGCAGCACAUUUUACUUUGGAUUGAGAUAUAUGUGAUCACCUAAUAAUAUAACAAACUUACAGUACCAAAAUAAUAUAAAUUAUUCUAAAAAUACUUGUUUGUCUUAGCGAUAUUAAAACACUAGAUUUGAAUACUCCUUUUUAAUUUAAGAAUUGUAUUCUACUAUUCUCUCAGUAGAUAUGAGUUUUUAGUCAUUUUGAUUUAAAUUUCUGUUAGUAGUGGAACAUUUUAAUAUGAUUGUUAUUUUGGAAACCAAAACUUAUUUGAAAUUUUGUGAAAGGUAUAGUUUAAAAUUUUGUGAAAUUUAUCGUUUAUUUUUAAACGGCUGUCUGUAAGUUGAAAAAAAGAGAAGAUUUUAUUUAUAAUUUUUUUUUAAAGAAAACAGUAAGCGCAUAGAACAAAUAUCAUCGCUUUAUUUGUCAAAAUGAUAAUCUUGAUAUAUGCUCAGUUUUCUAAUUUUAUAUGUACAUUAGUAUGAUUUGGUCUAUAGGUAUAAAACGAAUUAUUUACCAACCAAACGCUUAAUUUUGAAUCGGUUUCGCAGUUUUGGUUUGCAUCAGUUUACUUCCCGGCUUAAAGGAUCCGAAGACUUCACGAAUAGACUUGUAUGCCGUUCCAUUCUAGACUUUUAUGUCAGUCUAUUCCUCCCCGUAGCGUAGCGAGUACGCACAACCCUUGAUGUUCUAUAUUAUCGUCACAGGACUCCUUGUCGUUUUUCUAAGUCAACAUCAAUAUUGUCCGUACCUUCAAAUCCCCCUUGACCAAAUAUUAUUUGGUGGUAAUCGUGGUAUAUCUCGGUAAAUUAAUUGGCAGAACAAAUUCACUAUGUACUUCCACAACUCUAUAUGCUUUUGUAGAGGUACUCUCAUAAGGAAUUAGAUAAAGUAAAUUAGUAGAUCACAUUUAAUUGAUCAUGACGCUAAUUAACCUUUUUGUUUUGUUUUGAUAAUAACGCUACUUUACUUAAUCAGCUAGAUGUAACUGAUCCCAUACCCUAUUAGUAAACAAACUAUGAUCAGGACAAAGAAAGUACAAAGAUGGAGACACAAGAAGAUCUGGACCCUCUAAAAGUUAACUCACUCAUAUCCCUAACCAAAUUAAUUAAAAUCCACUUAUCUUAAAAGUGACAAGUGACUAACUCCUAACUUAAUAAAAACCUUUAACAUCCAAAUUAAUCAAUUGAAAUACCCUUCACACUUCAGUUAGCCAAUACUUGCUUUUGUUGCCACAUCCAUGCUCUUUUUUGCGCGAUAACAUGCUUUUAUCUACUUUUUUAAUAUAAAAAAAGUUGUGAUUAGAUGGACUUUGACGUAGCCUGUAUAGAUCUGCCAACGUUAUUGUUUUAGACUUCGAUUUCAAUUGCACUUUCUUUAUUUGUUUCAGCUGCUUAUGUUGUGGGUUUAUUUGAAAAAAUAAAGUACACAAAACGUAAACACAAACAAUGAUGUGUUUUUUUUUCUUUUUUUUUUCUUGUAACAAUACAAACAACGAUGUUUGGAAGUAUAAUUGAUAUGCUUUCGUGUGGUUUUAUUUUAUUUUUACGUUUACUUAAAUGAAAGUUUUAAUAUGUAUACAGUAUGUGAAAUUCUGUUUACAACAUGAAUGACCCGCUUGCGCUUUGAUACCCAACUCCAAAUCGGUACAUAUUUAACAAUUAACAUUUGAGAAGGUAAAUGAUUUAUUGAGCUAAUUCACAAUAUUUUUAAACGAAAAACUAAUAAAUAAAUCCUUUAGAUUUACAAGAGUGAUCGAAACCUCCUCGUUAAAGCAUAGUUAAAGAAUUUCUAUAUUUGAAAGGGCACUUGAUUUGGCGUAUCAUCCCAAAGUUUAAGUACUCUUAAGCCAUUUUUAAGAAAACCCUUUUUGUGUGGCUGCAAUUUAAUUAGGUGGAAACGACUCUUUACUUAAUUACUUCCCUCCUAAGCGCGUCGUAUGCACUUCUCUACUGUCAAGUGUCAACUAUUCACGACAAAUCAGUUUUUUCGUUUCUAUUGAAAAAGUCUAUGUUAAUUGUCUUUGAAUAACAAUAAAAUAAAAAUGUCCUUGCAGUUUUAAAUUUAACUAUACAUUGGUAUUAUCACUUGUGAUUAUUUUAGUACUAGACAAGUAAACAACUAUAAAAUUAAAAUAUCUAUAAUUAUGUAUAAACAAAUGAUUAAAGUCUAGAUAUUCUAUAAAAAUGAAUAGUGAAAACGAAUUAGAAUUCUCCAAACAAAGAAAAUAAAUUACAGAUAUGGACCAGAUAAAUCAAAUAGAAAUUUAUAUACUUUUUUUGAGUCUCAUAUUUAUAUAGGUAAGAGAUUAUAGGAAGAGAUUUUUAUUCUAAAACAUCUUCUUUUUAUAUAAGAUUAAUGACUGGUUUAGUAGCCACCGGCGGUGUAACUACGGAUUUCAAAUCCUGAUUGUAAAUUAGCGCAUCAUCCUUCCAACAUUGAUUAAUUUUGGGGUUCAAAGACAUAUAAAUAUUUUGGUGGCUAAGUGAAUUAAAUGUUUUAAAAAACAUAUUUUUAGUCCACAGUGAAUUACAUUCGUUGUAUAAUUGUAUUACGACUUUUUAUUGCAAUGAUUUUUCAGUUAUUAACUUUUUACAGUGCUGAAUGUCGAUAAUGUAAUCGUUGUUUUUUUUUUUUUUACAGAAAGAAUAAGUGUUUAUCGUACACGCAAGGAAGCGCGUGAAGAAGAGGAAUCUUAAAACAAGCAGAAACUGAAAACGUGGACUCAUCUAACCUUCACAAUAACCAAAUGUUUAAAAAGGGCAAAAGCGUAUUGCUUUAUGUUAUGGAAGAUUUAAUGGAAAGCCACAUAAGUAAGGAAAAAACAAAGCUUAUGGGGUUUAAUGGCAGUGUCAAGUGGCUUAAGCUUCAUUUAUAUGAGUGGCUAUAACAGUGACAAGCAUAAAAUCACCAAUUAGAUGUGCGUGGGGACCUUAAGAGAUGAAGGAACACACGCAUGUGGAUAUUUGAUCCCAACAACUAAUUUUCAUUAACAAAAGAAAUACAACAACUAAUUAAGUGUUUUUUUCUUCUCUGAAUCCAUCCUACAAGUUCUUUUUCUUUAUUUACGAGUGAAUUAGAUUAUAAAUAUUUAGGUAAAUGAUAAUUGCUAGAGUUGUUAUUAGAAAAUAGUAAAAAAAAAUGUUGAAAUUUAUUCUAUGUAGUAUGUACUGUAGAUUACAAUAUUAUAAAUUUGGUAGCAUAUACUAUCACGAAAAUUUUGUGAUAAAGUAGCGGGUUUACGGAUAAGGCAGGCCAAGAAUCCAAUAAGAUGUUGCAUGUAAAUCAAGUACAACCACAAGUUCCAACUUGGCCGAUUGUUUUUAUUUUAUUGCAUUGGACCCAUCUUAAUUAAAUCUUAAAUUCGGAUCCAACGGGUUGACACACGAAUAUUAAACUGUUCUGGUUUCACAGCUAUAACUUGUUCGAUGUGUGUAAGAGAGAGAUGCGGACGCAAAGGUAAUUUCCAAUCUAGGGUUUCUCAUUUAGCACCUCCAUUACCUCGUCCUCUGUUUUCGUCUUCUUCUUGUCAUACAUACAAUUACGUAUAGUUACAUUUAUAAUAUAAUAAAUAGAAAAUAAUUCACAUUUACGGUUAUGACUUAAACGACAAACUCAUCAUAUAUAUCAUUCUACAACUAUAUCAUAUAUUAUCUAUAAUAAAAAAAUUUCUUCAAAUAUGUAUAUUGAUAAAAAAAUAAUUUGAGCCUGCGAGUUAAAGUCUAGUUAACAUUGAACAUUACUAUUUCCCGUCGAUAAACGCAAAUCUUUUUUUUUUUUAUCUCCAUAGAGUUGAGAUAAAUUAGAUUUCUUUGUUCUUUGUUUCGCAAAACAUUUCGAUCUUGAUAUUUAAUUUCUUUUAAAUUUUGUUUUUCUAUACUUUGUAAAACAUAAGCGGAAGCGGAAAAAAUGCUGAAUGUGAUCGCGAACAUACAAACAAUUGAUAAUCUAUAUGUAAAAGCAAACAAAAACACAGUCAAUGCCAAGAAGAAGAAAGAAUAGAAGCAGAUAACAAGCCUUGUCACCAAUGUUGUUGUCGUAUAUUGGCUUACGGUUCCGGUUUACGGUUUCAAUCGUGUAAUUUGGUUUAGUGCUUCCGACCAGGCGCAUUGGGUUAUUAUGGUUUGGUUUAUUUCCCGUUAAGUAAUAUUGUAUUAGAAAAACAAACAACCAAAAAUAUAAAUACAGUUUGAAAAGGUUAAAAAAAAAUGUUGUUGUUGUAAAGCCGGUCGAGACUCGAGACCCUUAUAGAAUAGGCCUUCGUCGGAAGUGGCACAAGUGCUUUGAAUGUACUUGUUUAGAUGAUGACCGAGAGUGUAUAAAUUUUAAAUUCAAGUUUUAUGUUUUUUAUGAUUCCGAUUGAUGAGUGUACAAUUUCAAAUUCAAGUUAUAUAAUUCUAUAUAAUUCUAAAUUCUAUGGGUCCCUAUAAAUCUAUUUUCUUCUAUCGGAAUCAUAAUAGAAUUGUAUUGACCUUAGAAGAUGAGGUUUAUUUCAAAAGGACCCAAACUUUUCUAAACCUUCCUAGUGAUGAAGAGGGUUCGAAGAACUGGUGGACUGCGUGUUGUUUUUUAUGGUAAAGAGAUGAAAAGUAACAAACAUGCCGUUUUUCGGCCAAGUUUUAUGCUGGAUCUAAGGCCUCUUUCCGUACAAGUGGACAUCAUGCAGAGGCCCACAAAAUUUCAAACCUCAGGCCAUGCCACACGCCAAAGGUACUUUCCGGUCUGAUUCCUUGUUGAGAUCAAUAUGUUUUUUUUAUUCACUUAUUAAAUAUAAUCAAUUAAUUUUCACUUAGUUAGUUAGUUGUCUUUGUAUUUAUUGUGGAAAUUUAUAAUUGAUUGAUUGUGUCGUAAAAGAGUUAAAAAGAAAGUUGAAAAAAGAAAAGUUUGUUUAACGGGAUUAAUGGUUAAAGAGAAAAAGAAUUAAAGCAAUGCAACUUUGGUAGCGUGUCUGUUUUGGGUAUAAUUUCAUUGGUUCAAAUCCGAUCAUCGUUGUUCUUAUGGCAUUGAGUAUUAAUUAUUCAGUUACAAAAUCGAAAUUUCUUAUACACUGUUGUCAUUUUAGCUUCUACUGUGUGUGUGUGUCUGUGUGUUUCCAUGCUGUAAUCUUCAACUUUAGAGGAAUUUGAAGUUAUCUCCAUAUAUAGAGAUCCUAUUUUAUAAAUAAUAUAAAUUUUUAUGUAAAACUAUGGACUUUUUAUAGAUACCUUGAAUUUCUAUUAAAAAAUAUGUUCUUUUCCUUAAAAUUUAUCGUUUUGCAUCAUCAUUCAUCCGUUUUUUAGAUAUUAUUUCUUUCCAAGAACUGUAUGGUAAUAAAAAUGAGUACUUAUUAUUAUUCUACCAUUGGAUAUGACAUAUAAUAUCUAGAUAUGUGGCUUUAUAUGCUAUAAAAUUGUCUAUGGCAGAAACAUAAAUGAAAAAAUCUAUAAUAAAGGAAAAAUAAGUAUCACUAAACUUGUCUAUGGCGGAAAAACAAAUAUAAAGGAAAAAUAAGUAUCGAUUCUCCAUGAGGAUCACACAAUUUCAUUUUAAUGCAAGUUUGUGAUGUUAAUAAAAAAAAAGGAAAAAUAAGUAUCACUUACAAUACAACAAACAAAAGUUAAGUAUUAAUGUAAAUUAUUAGAAAUUUGGCUGUAGAUGAUAUUCAUUUUCAAACAUUAAACUUUAACGUUUUUUAAGAAAUUCAAAAUGAUAAUAAAUAAUAAAAUGUAAAUUAUCAAAAAACUAAAUUUUGUGGAUGAUAUAUGUGUAUAAAAAUAUUAGAUGUUUUAUCAUCUUUGAAGUUCUUGGUCAAUGUUUUAGAGUUGAGCCCUGUGGGACCUACUCCGUUUACAGAAAGAAAUUGUGGACUCAAUGUUUUAGAGUUGAGCCUUGUGGGACCUACUCCGUUUACAGAAAGAAAUUGUGGACCCCAUGCACUAUUUCGAACCGUUAGAUUGACAUUACAACACCAAAAAGAUGAUCACACGGCUGGAAAAAACGAUGCUGCUUUCAUGUUCAACACGUGUCCAAACGUGCUCGAGAAUUUUUUUCGCAAGCAUUAGAAAGGUACAAACUACCUUAUAACGACUUCAUGAUUAUUUCAUGACAAGAUUUAAUUACUACUUUACCCUUGGACUAGCAGAUUUUCUUUUGGAAAUAUUUUUCUUAUUCUAAAACAAGUAACCAAAGGCUAGAUUUUUGCCAACUCAUCACUCUUCACAAUUGCUCUGCUCCUAUUUAUAAACUCUUAAUAUUUUACCAUUAGCUUUACUUCUCCCAGCUUUUCCUCUUCCUUAAUUUAAUUGUCAAGCUUGAAUUUCAUUUCAGCUAUCAAUUUGAUUUCUUCAGCAUCCUUUCUUUGCAGUGUAGUUAACUGCUCUUUUCUAAAUCUCUAUGUUCUUCACCAACUCGAUCAUUUCUUAAAAUCUAGUGUUUCUUCUUUCCUUUUCGUAGUUUUUUGUUACUCUAUCUUCUAUUUUCCGUUUGCAUUCUUUGCUUUUUUUUUUCAUCGUAUGGAGUUCGAGUCAGUGAUUAAAAUGCAUUAUCCAUAUCUCGCAGCCGUUAUCUACGAUGAUAAUCUCACCUUAAAAGAUUUCCAUUCAUCUCUUACCGAUGAUGUUUCAUGUAUACAAAAUAUGCAUCAUAAACGUAGCCAGGUUAAUUUCGAUAGGUCACAUCUCCCAUCGACCAUAAACUCCUCUCCUGAUAUUUGUCACAAAAACCAAACAUCGAAGAUCUCAAACACAACCUCCGAUCAUAAUACUCUAAAUCUAAAUAUUGUUCCUAUUCACUUUGAUAUGCAGCCUCAAACAUACGAAAUACCCUCAAAAGAUACUUUUAGAGGCAUCAUUCCAUCUCCAUGCACCGAGGCUUUUGAGGCAUAUCUUCAUGGCAUAUCCAACGACCAAGAUCUCUUCGAUAUGGCCUAUAGCACCUCACUAGGUGUUGAACCCAAGGAUGUACCCAACGUUUCACAUGUCCAACGUGAAAAUACUAUGUGGGAAAAUAAUCAAAACCAAGGACUCGUCUUUGGGACCGAGGCAAUCUUCAAUCUAGCCAUGGUUGACUCUAACCUAUACGAUGCGGCUAAAUCAAUGGGUAUCUCGAGCGCAAACGUUGAUCCCAUCAUGAAUCGACGUCAUCAUAAUCAAAUAUUGAUCAAAACCGAUCAGAUCAAGAAGCACAAGAGAUUUCAGAUGAGGAGAGUAUGUAAACCCACGAAAAAAGCUAGCAUCAUCAAAGGUCAGUGGACUUCCGAAGAAGACAGGUAAAUUCCCUUUUUUUUUUUUUUUGGAAUUCUCAUUGAUGUUUUUGAUUAUAUGGUAUGCUUGUUAUUUCUUAAAAAAGAGUAAUUUACUACACAAGAUUUUUUGAUGAUUCUACCUAUAUUUAGGCUAUUGGUGCAAUUAGUGGAGCGUCAUGGGACUAAAAAAUGGUCACAGAUUGCUAAGAUGCUUCAUGGAAGAGUUGGAAAACAGUGCAGAGAAAGGUGGCAUAAUCAUCUCCGUCCUGAUAUCAAGGUUUUUUUUUUUACCUUACCCUCUUGUUUUUUUUUUUUGUUUUCAUAUUUAUAUAUAUGAUACAAUGAAUCAUACAUAUAUCAUUAUAUCAUUAUGUAUAUAUGGUCGUCAGUGUGUGUUUACAGUAAGAGAAGCAUACAUAUAUCAUUAUACCUAUGUUUAGAUGUCCAUGACACAUCAACGAUGUGUUCAUUAUGUCACUUCAAUUGACAUCGUAUCAUGAUAUGGAUAUAUAAGCAAAUAUAACUACACGCUUUCAAUUUAUUUUUAUGAUUUACACAUAAACUAAAUAUAUAAUUGUUAGAAACUAAAUAUCCAAUUGAAUGUGUUUAUGUUGAUUUUUUUUUUUGGGUGAUGAGACUUUAAUUUAAAAUACUGAUUCUAUUAUAUAUAUUAUAUUAAAAAUUGGUAUACAAUUACAACUUAUUUUUCCACAAAGAAAACAAAAUAUCAUACUCUGUUUGUUCAGAUUCAUAGAGAAAGUUCUAAAAAAAAAUUAAACAAACUUUUUUCACAUUUGUCAAUAUGUCUACGGUCCUAACUCAUGCAUGAAUACUUUAAACUUUUGUUUGUAUAUACUUAUAUGUCUAUGACAUUUUAAUUAAUGCAUUUCGUCUUGUUGUUGUGGACAAAUAGGUCACAAUUGGUAAGCAUUCAAACUAAAGACAAUUUCACGUAGAUUCUCUCGUAACAACGUAACAGACAGAGACAAAUAAUAAAAAUAAGUAAUAUGUUUAUAUGUUACAGAAAGAUGGUUGGAGUGAAGAAGAGGAUAGGAUACUAAUUGAAGCCCACAAGGAGAUCGGGAACAGAUGGGCUGAGAUCGCUAGAAAACUCCCUGGACGCACUGAAAACACAAUCAAGAACCAUUGGAACGCGACUAAACGCCGACAACACUCGAGGAGGAGUAAAGGAAAAGACGAGAUCUCCCUUGCACUUGGCAGCAACACUCUUCAGAAUUACAUCAGAUCUGUUACUUACAACGAUGAGCAUACUCUCAUGGCUGCAAACUCUGACGCAAACGAAAACGUCGGUUCAAGAAACAUGAGAGGUAAAGGUAAAGCUGUAAUCGCUGCAGUCUCUGAGUACGGAGAGAACAGUGAUGAGAAUGAUUGCAAGUAUAUCGUUGAUGGUGUGAUGAACUUGGAUUUAGACGAUGGAAGAAAGGAGAAAACGGCGUCGUUGGCAGUUGGGUCAGGGUCAACGUCUACUUCUGGUUCGACGUCUGGAUCAGGAAGUGGUGUAACCGUGGAGCUUGAUGAACCCAUGACAGAUAGCUGGAUGGUGAUGCAUGGGUGCGAUGAAGUUAUGAUGAAUGAGAUUGCUCUGCUUGAGAUGAUUGCUCAUGGCCGUCUUUAGGUCGCAAUUUAAUCAAGCCAAACUUGAUUAUAUCUUUAAUAUAUAAAACUAUGCUUUAUGUGAAAUCAAAUUUGUGCUUUUAAUUGACAUGUAAUAUAUAUUGUGGUUUAAUGAAUGCUUUUUUUCCCGGUCUCUCGGUUUUUUUUCUUGUUCCUUUUCGGAAAACCUCUCGUUUAACAAAGAAUCUAUAGAUAGUCAAUUUUCCGUCGUGUGAUUCCACAAGUCCACAGCAAAUGCACUUAAUCACUAUUCAAUAAUUGUGUAUCUAGCAGGAGGGUACUAGUGUACCAUCGAAAUAAAAGUAAUUUGCUUACAAAUCACAGUUAGAGUUUUGUCAAAAUGUUGGCAACGAACUGGCUGUAGACUGUAGUGUUUGUAUAUUUCUUUCCCCUUUGGUGAACAGAAAUCAUGUUCUUUGCUUUAAGUACGUAAUAUUUGGUAUCCAUAUUCAUUAACGAUCUUUUGAAUUAAUUUCAUAGCAAAUCGAACUUUUCCAAUCAAAGUUAUAAAAUAAAACGCUUCGUAAGAAUUUUAUGUCGGACUAAAAAAAAAUCUUGCUAUUCCUCAAAGAAUAAAAAAAACAUUAUAGGUGUUCACCAUAAAUAAUAGAAAAUAUAUAUGGCCUUGUAGAUAGGUACGUAUACCUUUUUCCAUUUUGAGAGGUUUUUUGCCUAUUUACAGAACGCACGAGACGAACGACGCCGUUUCAAUGCAACAAACGGAGGAGGUCCCACCUGUUCCUCUCUAUCCACCCUGUCUUGGUCUCCGACUUCUCGGUUUCUGUGGCUCACCGCCGCCAUUCGGAUGCUUCUCGGAUUUAUACGAAUCCCUUAGCUUCCGAAAUUUCUAUUUGACUUCUCCAUCACAAUUUCACGAUUACUGUAGAAAGAAGAAACUUCUACAUUUCUUCUUACAUUUCGUAAGUAUUAAGAACACCAUCAGUUUUGGCUUCUUCUGGAGAAUUUAUGUAUAGAUUUUUUUUUUUUUUUUUGACAUCUUCAUAUAUAGAUAAUAUAGCACAAUUCCUGAAAAAAAAUUUCGAAGUCUCGUCUUCUUCAGACUCGGAUUACAAAUCUGAAUUAUUAUUAUCUCUGUCUCUGUAGGUGAAUCGAUAAGCUACUUGUAUUCCCUCUCAUUUCGAUCUGGUUUCUCUACCCGGCGUUGAUCCAUUGGGUUUCGGAUCUGAAGAUCCGAAUAUUCAGUACGGAUCAACUGUUUAUAGGAAGAAGAAGAAUGAAAUCCCAGGGUGUUUCGGCUUUUACCAGCUUCGAUUACUGGUUUAAUUGGAGAGUGUUUCUCUGUGCGGUUUGGGUGUUGACUCCCAUGAUUGUUGCUUUGUUCGUCAUAUGGAAGUACGAAGAUAGCUCAGUACAAAACCAUCGACGAAUUGAUAAUGACAAUGGUGAUAGUGAACGCAAUGAUGAUGAGCUAUGCAUUGAUGAUGUUUGGAGACCUUGUUUUAAACGAAUCCAUCCCGGUUGGUUACUGGGUUUCCGGGUUCUCGCCUUCUGCUUUCUUCUAGCGAGCAACAUUGCCCGGCUCGCUUUUCGUGGAUGGCGUAUUUACUACUAUUACACUCAGUAAGCUCUUCAAAAUCUCAUUUUACUGUGUAAAAAUCUUCAUUUUAGGGGUUUGUUCAGGAUCACUGAUGCUUUGAGGCACUGAAGUUGUUUCCAUAUUCUUGAUACGAUUGAGACUUGUUUGAUUCGGUGUUGUCUUGGUUUCUUGAUAGGUGGACAUUCACGUUGAUAGCAAUCUACUUUGGGGUAUAUUUUGAUUUCAAUGUUGUGAAUAUAUGUUAUGUUUUGUGUUCAGAUAGUGAUGAUGAAUGUGUUUAUUUGGGUAUGUUCUGUAGAUGGGAUCACUGCUUUCCAUUUAUGGGUGUUUUCAACACAAAAAGCAACUGAGCACGAGAUUAACGGCUGAUCAAGUAGGAAAUGAUGCAGAGAACGGAUUUCGUUUGCCCCUUAUAAAUGGGGAGAACGUGGUUUUUCUCGAGAAGGGAAAAACUUUGGACUCAAAGGCACUACAGUCCUGUGUCCAUGUCUUGCAGAUUAUAUUUCAGGUAGACACAAAUCCUUUUGAUAUGAAUAUAAUUAGUAACUUUUAGAUCUCUGAGUAUAGCAUCGUGUAGAUUAUCUGUGAUGAUCAAUGAUGUUGUUUUGGCAUUUGUGCGUUUUGGUUUUGUUGAAAAACAGAUGAGUGCUGGAGCGGCUGUGCUUACAGACAGUAUAUAUUGGACCGUGAUUUUCCCGUUUCUGUCUUUACAGGACUAUGAGAUGAGUUUCGUAAGUUUCGCGCCAUUUCCUCAAGAAUUUUCCUUACCAUAUACACUGUACUAGUAAAAGCUGGUGCAUGGCACUUUCUAUGUUGCAUAAGUUCUGUUACUUGGAGUUUUAUACUUGCCUUGAAUUUAUUUGAAUCAACCUUGACCGGCUUGAAAACUCGAUCUCAACAUUUCGACUGCAAAUUGUGUUUUCAGAUGACCGUGAAUUUGCAUACGAGCAACCUCAUUUUGCUGCUUUGUGACACAACUCUUAACCGUCUGGUAAACACUCCUUUUCUCUUCCGCAUUUAAGAUGUGACCAAGCGUUUUUUUUUUACAUUAAUGUAUCAACGUGAGUUUUUUUUGGUGUUACUCGCAGAGAUUUCCCUUGUUCAGGUUCUCUUACUUCAUCUUGUGGACAGGAAGUUUCGUUAUCUUCCAAUGGAUUCUCCAUGUUUUUGUCUCCGUAGGGUAAAAACUCGUCUUUUUUGUCAUCUUAUAUCUUACACUUUGUUUCUUGAUCUUUCCUAAGUUUCUAUUCCUCGAUUGAUUUAGGUGGCCAUAUCCAUUUCUCGACCUGUCAAUGCCAAUGGCUCCAGUGUGGUAAGCCUUCAAAACAUUUACAUUCUAGAUAAGUCAGCAGUUUUAUAGAGAAGAAGAAUGAAAAUAUUUUGUUACAUCAAAAUGCUUCAUUCGCUAGACUAUUUUGCCGAUCCUUAAUAGUUUACGUUCAUGCAUCUGCAGGUAUUUGUUGGUAGCACUCCUGCAUUUUCCUUCUUAUGGCUUCUAUGCAUUAUUCGUCAGUAUCAAACACAAACUCACUGCUUAAAGUGAUUUCAAAUGCAAGAGUUUUGCCUCGAAGAAGAGUCAAUUCUCAUUUCAUUUCAUUGGUUUCAACAAUGAAAGAAACACAGUGCAAACAGUACUUUUUACCCAUAUGUACUCAAAAUCUCAGAACAGAAAAGUAUAUAGUUACCACAAUUUUCAAAACAUUCUCAAUCGUUUUGUCAUUGAAUAAAUCUUUAUAGCUGAUCUAAUUUGGUAGUGUAGAAACCUUCUAACGCGAUGAAUGUGAUCUGUUUCAACCAGUCAUCAAAUGGUUAAGUCUUGUGCAAACCAAAUGCUUCAUCAGCCUGCAAGAGAACGGCUUGUGCUAGUCUUCCCCUGUUUGACCAGUUUAGUCAGAGCCAUAUCGAUCUGACCAAACACUUCCUCUUUAGAACAAUUUCCCUUGAUCGUUACCGUUAUAUCUCGGUACAUCGAUAACACAUCUCUGACAUUUCGGUUAUGAGUCUUUAACCGGAGUUUCACCUUCUCUUUGGUAUCAUCAAACCGUUGAGUGAGCCUAGCAGCGAUCUCUUCUGUCUCCGGAAGAGAAUACUUCAAGUGGUAUAUCUUCCCAGUGACAGGAUCUAAUCUACGCCCGAUCACUCUAUCGAUAAGAAUAUCUUCAGGCACUUCAAGGAGAAUGAACAAAUCAGGCUCGAAUCCAAAUCUCUUGAGAGAUGUUGCUUGUGAUAAACUCCUUGGGUAUCCAUCUAAAAGCCAUCCGUUUUGCUUCGACAAAGCUUCUUUCACCAUCGUUACAAGUAUUUCAUCAGGAGCCAAUUCUCCUUUCUCCAUGAAUUCUUUUGCUAGUCGUCCGUUUUCGCUUCCGGAAUCGAUUUCAGCUCGAAGCAAACCUCCAGCUGAUAUUUGAACCAAACCAUAUUUCUGAGUAAUGAGCUCGCAUUGUGUGCCUUUACCUGAAGCUGGAGCUCCUGAUAUUAUGAUUCUCAAAGGCUCAGCUUCUUCCGCCGCCGCCUCUGCCGCCAACGCCGUGAUCUGAAAACUAGUGGCGGUUUGCUUCCGGCGAAGACAGAGUAGGGCGUUUCUGGUGGAUGAAAAAGAUGACCGUGAAACAGAUUUGUUAAAACUGAUGCUGCAGCAGAGUGACUUUGAAGGUGAGACACAUGGCGGGCAUAGAGUCAUCGCCGGAGAAUUCACACAGCUCGCCAUUUCUAUUUCCUCUCCUUUAUAUCUAAAAGCACUACAGAGUUAGAUUUCACAGGCUAAAACUGAUAUGACUUUUUACUUCGAAAAGCAAAAUUGGAGCUUUCUUCUGUUUUAAUAUCCCAAAAUGUAUUUUUACUUUUAAAGUGCAUUUCCAUAACUUAAUUUCAAGCUUUCAAUAGAGAAUAACGGAUUCGAAAAACACUACAAAACUCGGAUCCAAAUACGAUAUCAAUAUACAUACGAUCAAGCAUCAAUUAUCGAGGAUCUAAGCAAAACAGGAUGAGCAAGAAACUUUGAGCUAACAGAAAAUCGAACGGCUGGAAAUGGAUCCGACUCAUAAAUGUAGAGCAGAAAGAUGGAAAACUAUCGAUUAAAGCUUACAAGUAAACUUAAACAAAGCGUUGGAGAAAUAUAAUCUCAGCCAUGAAUAUAUUUGAGGGCAGUAACAGAGAGAAGAUGUACCACUUGCAAUAAGCCUGAGUAUCUGCGAAGCUGAGACGUUUACCGGCGGAGAGGGAGAGCGAUAUUUUCCCGUUUCCUCUAUUUUUAUUGACAGCGACGUGUAAAUAAAAUUUUUUUUUUUUGAUAAGGUGUAAAUAAAUAUUUAUGAACUCACCUCAGUAAAAGUAGCGUAUUUAUCAGAUGAACCCCUAAAAGUUUUUCAAAUUUUUAAUAGGCCCAAAUCUUUUGGCCUUCUGAUGAUGUGGAGCCUUUCAGGAAUCUGAGAACCGCGCGGCGUUGUAUAGCUUGCCUUCCACUACAACGGUAAAAAGGAUCUUGACGCUACCCUGAAUUUGAACUCACUCUCUCGAUUUCUCUCCAUUUCUCUGAGCUCGUUGCUCUUCAAGUUUCGUCUCGCACAGGUGUUUGAUUCUGAUUUAAAGGUGAGUUUGAUUGAGAUUAUCCGUGCAUUUCUCAAUUGUAUUUGCUCGAUUCGUGAUCGGUUUUAGUGGAGUGAUUGCGAGUUUCUACUGGUCACCAUCUCGUAACUUCCUCACACAUUUCCUCUGAAAUUUUCGCUAGCGUAAUCUGUUUGCUAAGUUUGAAUUUGGCGAUUAGUUUUGAGAUAUCAAUCGGUUUCCGCAUCAGGAUCAGAGCAGAUUUUGGUUUAAAUUCGUGGAUGGCGAUGGAAAAUUAGUGUUGGUGUUUUUGAUGUAAUCGCUAUAUCACGCUGAUAAAAUCUGCAGAUCGUCAAAUUGCAAUUGGUCAUGGAUACACACACUCUGAAAUCUGUCUCUGAUUUGCCUGGAAACUUCCGCUCAGCUUUUAGUUUCAGGUAAUAUCCCUUUACAGUUAGAUUUAGUUUUGAUCUUGUAGUCACUGUGUGCUAAUCUAUUUAUUGCUCGCUUUAGAUGUAUUUUUGCUUACUCAAGGAAUGGUUGGAUGAAUGUUAUCUUCAGGAACAUGAUGAUGAUUUGCUUUUCUUUGGUCCUUUAUCAAACACUGGUUGUGAAUCUAAAACUUUCCUUUGUGUUGCUUCUGGCUCGUUUGUCUUCAGAUACUUCAAUUCGCUGCAAAGCGAGUGCUUUCCACUUUGCUUUCACUCCGAUAUCAACAUGGUUAUUUCAGCGCCAACGGGAAGUGGUAAAACCGUACUUUUUGAGCUAUGCAUUUUGAGGCUCCUCUCCAAGUCUAUCUCUAACGAAGGAAGGUUUCUCCAUGCUAAAGGAGCUCUUAAAACAGUAAGCUUUUGAUCAUGAGAUUUUUUGAAUGUUUUAAUGCCUUCGUUUUUACAAUAAAUACACCAAUACUGGACAAUAAGUUUAUUUAUGGUUUCUUCAACCUCUGUUGUCAAGGUUUACAUAUCGCCGUCCAAGGCUUUAGUACAGGAGAAGCUGCGUGAUUGGAAUCAAAAAUUUAAUUCAUGGGGAAUCAGUUGUUUGGAGCUGACAGGUGAUAAUGAAACCUACAGCACAAAGAAUAUACAAGACGCAGAUCUUAUCUUGACCACACCUGAGGUCAGAUAACAAUUUAUAUUGCUUGGUGUAUUUACUGUCUGGAACAUGUUUAUAGCGUCUGAUUUUCCCCAAAGCUUUUAGCCAGAACACAAGCAAUAUAAGACAUUUCAUUCCGUGUUAACGCAAAGUACAUAGUUUGUAUCUCCUCUGGCUGUAGCUUACAUUUUUUCCUACAGAAAUUUGAUGCAGUGAGUCGUUAUCGCGUUACCAGUGGAGGCUUAGGCUUUUUCAGUGAUAUUGCGCUUGUGCUCAUUGAUGAAGUUCAUCUGCUGAAUGAUCCGCGUGGAGCUGCUCUGGAGGCAAUAGUCAGUAGGAUAAAGAUUCUUUCUAGCAAUCAUGAACUAAGUUCAAGUCCUUUAGCCUCCGUACGUCUUCUGGCUGUCUCAGCUACUAUCCCAAACAUUGAGGAUCUAGGUAAAAUACAGUUCACAGUUCUAGUCAUAUUUUGCAGAUUUUAUAACAUAUUGGUUUUUUUGCUUUGUUAACCUGCUUCGAGAGUAGAAAUUGAAAAGACUUGCUUCAAAACAACUAAAGUGAUAAUACUUAUUCAAUUACUGCAGCGGAAUGGCUCAAGGUUCCUACCGCAGGAAUUAAGAGGUAAACUAUGGAUUGCUUUUAGAAAUAUGCCCUUACGUGGGGAAGUGUUUUCAUUUUCUUCAUUGUUUCCCUUCCCAUGUUAUAUAGGUUUGGUGAAGAAAUGAGGCCUGUUAAGUUGACGACUAAAGUUUUUGGUACCUGUCGCAUCUCAAAGUCAAUAUUUUGGCUCUUUAUUUAUUUUUUGUUGUUUAAAUGUUAAGAUGCCCGGGUUGAUGAAUUUGGUUAGCUAUUGAUGAAAUCCUGUUUUCAUGAAUUUUAAGAAAAUGUUUCUUGUCUUUCCUGUAAAGGUUAUGCUGCUGCCAAGAAUGACUUCUUAUUUGAAAAGGUAUACAGUUUCUGCAUCUUGGUUUUCAAUAGCUAUACCCCCUCUUGUCCUUUUCGUAAAAACGGAAACUAAACCAAGUCUUGUUUUCCUUUCUUUUCUUUCCCCAUAUCCAGCGCCUCCAGAACUAUAUUUAUGGUAAGCGGCUUAUCAUGAUUUUCUUCUGUUAUUGCUGUCUUGCUUAGGUUGUAACUUACACCGUUCUGUUGAGGAAAUAUAUAAACUUGCAGAAAUUUUAAUGCAAUUCUCAAAAGGAAAAUCUGCCUUAGUUUUCUGCUCGACACGAAAAGGCGCUCAAGAGGCUGCACAAAAGCUUGCUCAGACUGCAAUGACCUAUGGCUAUUCAAAUCCAUUUAUUAAAAGCAGAGAACAGCUGGAACGGUUAAGGGAGGCUUCGCCAAUGUGCAGUGACAAACAAAUGCAAUCUUAUAUUCUCCAAGGCGGUAUGGUCUGUUUCAUCUUUUAGAGGUUUUGAUCAUACCUUUGAUUCAGCAUUGUCCUGCAAGCUGAAUAGCACCGCAAUGUCCCAAUUAGUUGGUUAUCACAAUGGUGGUCUUUGCCAAAAAGACCGCAGCCUCGUGGAAGGGCUCUUCCUUAGUGGAGAUAUCCAAGUUCUUUGCACGACCAACACUCUUGCUCAUGGAAUCAACCUGCCUGCACAUACAGUUGUCAUAAAGUCAACUCAACAUUUGUACGUCUUUGCGUAGAUGGUUCCAUUAAGAAUUUUUUUUGGAACUUAAGUUAAUAUCCACUGACAUAAUUUUCCUUUCAGCAACAAGGAAAAAGGUCACUACAUGGAAUAUGAUCGUUCCACACUACUACAGGUGUGUUAUUCAAGCAUGUGUAGUUGUCUAGAUGAUAUUGCAUUCUAAUUAUCUGUACAAGCUACUGGAAUGUGCUCUAAAUGAUAUUGCUAGCAGGAGAAGUAAUCUCUCUUUUGCAGAUGUGUGGCAGGGCUGGUCGGCCUCCAUUUGAUGACACGGGAAUGGUUAUUAUUAUGACUAGAAGAGAGACGGUUAUAUACUGCAACUUUUCUCUGUGCCUGAAUCUCUUACUUUAUGUUAACCUUCCCUUAUCUUAUCUGGCUGUGAUUUAUUAAAUGAUUACAGGUCCAUCUCUAUGAGAAUCUUUUGAAUGGAUGCGAGGUUGUUGAAUCACAGUACGUAUUGGCCGAUAAACUUUUUGGAACUCUUUGCUUUUCGGCACAUUCUUCAAAAGCUAUUUGUUGACUUUAAAAAACAUUCUUCUGUUGUUUUUAUGUUUUUGUCUCAGAUUACUGCCAUGCUUAAUAGAGCACCUAACCGCAGAAAUAGUUCAACUUACUGUCUCUGACGUUUCACGGGCAAUUGAGUGGAUGAAAUGCUCAUACCUAUAUGUCAGAAUGAAAAAGGCAUGCUCUUAUGCGCUCUCAAUGAUUCUUACGGUAAAUUUUUUUUUAUCAUAUAUGGUUAAACUAACUUUUAAGUUCGUAUGGACAGAAUCCAGAGAAUUAUGCUAUUAAGAAAGGAAUUCCUAAAGAUCGAGUUGAGAAGCAUUUGCAAGGUGCUCUAGUGACGUAGUUACUGUACUCAUUUUUCCCUUUUGAGGUUCUCAUUUGUCCUAGAUUUUAUCAGAGCUUUGCCUUCAGAAGAUCAAUGAGCUGUCACGUUAUCAGAUGAUUUGGACUGACACAGACGGUUUUGUUUUGAAACCAGAAGGUAUUGAGAUUUAUGAUUACUUAUCUUCGAUUUCGAAACAGAAUUGACUCGUUAUAUUUUGUAGAGCCUGGAAGGCUGAUGACAAAGUAUUAUCUAAAGUUUGACACAAUGAAGUACAUUAUCCAUGCGCCAACGGGCUAUAGCUUGGACGAGGCUCUUCAUAUUGUAUGCCGUGCGGAAGAGAUAUCUUGUAUGUCAUUUCUGCUUCGGUACAUAGCUCUUUUUACUUAAUGAGUAAACUAAUUCUGUUUAUUUGGAAAAAUGAAGGGAUACAGCUCCGACGCAAUGAAAAGAAGACCUUAAAUGAUGUAAAUGCAGAUAAAGAAGGGCGGCUUAGAUUCCACAUCAACGAUAGUAAAGGAAAGCGGAAAAAACGCAUCCAAACCAGAGAAGAGAAACUAUUUGUGCUUGCAAAUGAUUGGUUGACAGGGGAUCCUUCAGUCCAUGAUUUAUCCAUGACUCAGGUCCACCAAUAUUAUAUUCAUGGCUCCCUCUAAUCACUUUAUGACACUUACUUCCUACCUCAUCUGAAAAUUGGAUCUUUUGUCUCAGGACGCUAACUCGAUAUGCUCCAACGGAUCUAGAAUAGCCAGAUGCAUGAAAGAGUACUUUAUAUACAAAAAGAAUUAUAAAGGAACGAUUAGCUCAACUCUUCUAGCCAAAUCACUUUAUCAGAAGCUCUGGGACGACAGUCCAUAUUUGCUGAAACAAUUGCCUGGCAUUGGAAUGGUUACAGCAAAGGUUUGAUGUCUGUCUGCUCUUUAUAAGAUCGUUCACUGCACCUUACCUUUCAGAUGCUUCAAUGAUUUUUUUUUUUCUUGGUAACUUUUGUCUAAAUACAUUCUUUUGCUAGGCGCUUCACUCGAUGGGAGUCAGAUCAUUUGAAGCUCUUGCUGAAGCUGAUCCAAGAAGGAUAGAGAUUGUUACCGGUCGAAAAUAUCCUUUUGGAAAUCAUAUAAAGGAAUCUCUAUCUUCCUUACCUCCAAAAGUAGAAAUCAAGGUCGAAGAAGUUGAAUGUCAUAAGCAAGGUGUAUCUAAACUAGCAGUCACAUUGACACGACUAUCACAACCUCUGCAAUCCACAAAACGCCAUUAUGCUGACAUGGUUGGUUUCCUUAACUUUCUGCAGUUAUAUUCUAACUCUGCUGAAGAUAGUGUACCUGCAUCUCCACGUCUCUGCAUAGUCUUGUGAUCUUCUCAUUAGUAAAAGAUAAGUACUAUAUGAGCUACUAAUCUGUAUCCUUUUCUGGCAGAUUGUUGGUUCAGAGGAAGAAAAUCUUAUCCACUUUCAUGAGAAAAUAAGGUUAUGCGCGCUUGCUUUUCUUCUGAUAACGAAUUGGUUCAUGGACUUUUUACCAACUCUCUCGUGUUUCACAUAAGCCUCUUGUAAGACAUUCAUGUAAAUGUAACUAAUCAGUGAUACUUUUAUGGCAGCAGAAUGGAGGACUUCUCCAGGUCUGUUUACCUGUCGGUCACUCUAUCAUCAUCAACCAACCCAGUGUAACUCUUCGUCGAACAUGGUUUAAGAUUUGAAAUAAUUCUAAUCUUCUUUGUUUCCUCUUUCUAGUCCCUAUAGCGUAACCAUACUCCUGGAAAGGCCCCAACAAGCAAAGGUGACUGUGAAGGCUGAUCUCAUCUUCGAAGAAUACAGUUAGGUCUUCAAAAUAGCAUCACUGAUUUGGUAGCAAAACUUGAUAACCAAGUAGUGAGUAAGAAAUUGAAACAUGAAGUAACUUAUCAAGUGUGUGUAUUUCCGGGAUUUUGUUUUGUAGUUGGUAUUGAUCUCCAUGAAACGCUUCUACUGAAGAAGGCAAAAAACAGCAAAAUAUAUUACCAAAGCGAAAACAGGCUGCCACACUAUUAUCCUCCGAUGGUGGAUGUCUACAUAGUGGAUGAUGACAACACAGUUAAAUCCGGACCUUCAAACCAGAAUGAUCAAAAAGAUGAAAUGUGAGUCCAUUUUUUAGUACUUUCUUGCUCAGAAUGUGUCUUAUUAUCAAAUUUAUUCCCUCUACCCAUAAAUACAUAUGUUUGUCAUGAAUACAACUUUCUGCUCAAUUUACUUCUACAGGCCUAGUUUCAAGCUCUUAGAUGAAGAUUCAGAAGAAGGUUAGAUGGUCACUACAAAUUUAAAUCCACCACAAGUUAUUUUCGUGUGCUUUGUAUUCCAUUAACAAUUUUUCAACCCAAAAUUCCUUGCAGAGAAAGAGCCCUACGUGACGAUGGAAGAAGACGACUGCGUCAUUAUCAAUGAACAUACAGUUUUUGACCACAUACGUGAAAAAGCAAAGUGUUUUCCUUCAUUGGCCACUUUGAAUCAAACCUCUCCGGCAUCAGGAAAAUCAACUCUGAAAAGGAAGAGCUUAUUGGAGAAUUCUCCUGAACUCGAUCCUCUAUUUCAGUAUAAUUCUGUGCUUGGUUCACCUACAAAUACUAAAAAAAUCAAACAAAGCGCACAGAAAAUUACAAGCCCGAGUUAUGCAAGCCUUGCAGACAAUAAUGGUGAGUAAAUCAUCAUUCAUUCUGAAGUUUAUUUUACGUUUAUACACUUUUGGUUAAACUCUAACUAUUAUCCUCCCCAUUGAUCUGAAAAAGGGAAAACAGAAAGACCAUUCUCUGAUGAAACAGUAUUCAACUACAUAAGGAAAAGGUCCAAGAAUUCUCCGGUACUCGUCACAUCAAAAAUCGAGGAUCCCAUAACCAUCUCUUCUCAAGAAGGAAGAAACGCAGAGAUAAGUCCGUAUAAAGCCUACGGAUUAAUGGUUAGUCCUUCUGCUAAAAGACAAAGCAUCACAUUCGAUGCUACUGCAGAAAUGCUGUCCUUUGAUAUCUCAAUGGCGAAGAGAACCAGCACCAACUUAGAGCAGAAGAAAGCAUUCUGCUCGAUGCUUCCAAGUAAGUCUAAAGUCUCUGAUUCUUUUCUUGGAUUUAAAAGCAUCUUCUCGUUUCUGUGACUUUCUCAUUUACACGCCAACACAAAAACUAGCUCCUAGAGAGCACAUGCUAAUGAAGUAAUGAUAGUGGUAGUAAUAAAAUUGGACCGAGGUGGUUUGUAAGUAAGAUUACAGUAGAUGGGAUGCAGUUACAGAACUGCAUGACGUUUUGUGUUUCAAAAGAAAUUUGUAUCUAAAGAUUGGAAGUAAACUGGCACUUUCUACAUGGAUUUCUAAACCAUGAAGACAUGAAGUGAUGCAUGGAUCUUAUAAGUCUAUGAAGACGAAGAGACAACUCAACCUUAACGAAAGUAAUAGAUAAAUGACAAAAAAAAAAUUGUAUUCUGCACUGGAUCAACUGUUUACGAAACAAAAAAAAAAGCAUUAAAACGAGAAAUAUAAAACUACAGUAAUAAGAAAAAAUUGAUGCUACGAAGAGAAACUGUCUUAUAAGCACCCUGACCCUGAAUAUUACUCACACUGAAGUCCCUCCGCUAAAACCGCACUCCGAAGAUCAGCAUAUGUCAGCACAAAACUCAAUUGCUUUCUCUAUUCCCUUUGAUCUGUAAGGUGCAAUGCUGUGGUUGAUACCAGCUUGAGUUGGACCCAACAAAUCAUUCUCAAUGCACUUAUACAUUUCUUUGCAGAGGUUAUCAAUCACAGGACAUAAAAAUUUGAGUUGAUUCUUCAUCAUCUUUAUGUCAUCUUCACUAUAUUCAUCAAAAGGCUCUUCUAAAAUCUUGGAAAGUCUCUCAACAUUACCUUCAAGUUGCUGCUGCUGAUCUUCAAACAGAUUCUUCUUCAUCUCUCUAUCCAAAUCGCUCAUCUCAUCUUUGAACAGCUCUUCCCCAAACAUGUAGAAGGCGAAAGGAUACGAAUACGAAAGAAUCCGUCUUGAUCUGAAUAACAGGUCGACUCCAUCUGUUAGCCAAGUGAGAUCUUUAAACACCAACUGAUCAUUCUUUUCUGAAAUGAACUCUGCCUUCUCAAGAAUGCUCUUCCUACGUUUAUCCUCUAGCUUUGAUGAAUCGGUAUGUGCUUUGAAAUGGUAAUAGUAAUGCGUGUACCUGUUUAAAUCCCUCUUGGCUCUCUCCAUUUGCCUCACUUUGUCCUCUUUGUACCUACCACAACUAUGACCCGAGAUACUCGUCCAGGUAUGGUCUCUUCCAGUAGCUCCACCACACAACCAACAAAAAUGCUGCCCACAAAUACAAGUCAUGAGAUUGCAUCCGUCACUCCUGUGGACAGGUUUGUUGCAUUUGGGACACACCCUCGUGUGAACUGUGAUCCAGUUAACUGUCUCAGACUCAUCUUCACACUUCUUUCUCCAUAGCUUCCACAUCAGACAAGAGCAAGGAGAGUGAGACUCGCUCAGACAGCUGAAACAGAACUGAAGACCACAAGAACACUCGACCUCGACCUCCUCAUCUUCCUCAGCUUUUCUUAUCGCGUUCCCGCAAUGCGGUGUGCUUGGACACCACUUGACCAUCUUGUUAUCUUCCACGUAUGACUCAACGAGGAAACGAUCAAACUUUUCAGCUAACUCCGGAGAAACUAGCUUCCUAACUACAUCUUCAUCGCAGAUCGCGUUGCACUUGUGAGCCAUGCAUGUAAUCCUUUUGCUCUUGCCUUCGUUGAUGUUCACAGUAAAAUGUUCCUUCCAACAAUCGUUGCAAAAGCAAUGACCACACUCCAUUCUCGUCAUCGCAGAACUUGGUAUAUCGUCUUCUAUGCAGAUAUCACAACUCAUCGUCUUCCUCUUCCUCGAACUAAUCAAGGAAGGAUCAAAGACAGUAAGACCAGCACUUUUGAACAAACUGUCUUUGCCUCUGUCACCAUAAACUCCAAUCAACUUAUUCACGUUCCACUGGUAAUGAAUGAGAAGAGUCCUCGCUUGGUUCUCCUUAACCGAGAGUAAUUCCAUAACCCUAGCUAAAACUUCCUUCUGUGCCAGUACAAGAGAUUCCUUCGUGAUGAUCUGGCUCGUUGAUUUUUUGGAGGACACCUCUUCAUGAGCAUGAUCAUCAUUGUAGUAAUCUUCAUAAUUAUCCUCCUCCUCUUCCUCUUCCUCCUCGAAGCUCAAAUAAUCGUCAUCCAUCGAUUUAAACUUUUUAUUAGAAUCAGAUUACCGAGAAAUCGUCGGACGGAGGCGAUCGAGAGCCAAAGGGAGAGAGUGUAGACGAAGAACACGAAAAGUCCUGAUAUGGUGGCGACUGGCGAGAUCUUCUUCACAUAAUAUUUGUAGGACUCACUCGAAUAACGCAAAUCUUUUGGGUGUUAGUUACUUUUAUAGAUAUAUCUUUUAUUUUAUUUUUUUUGGUGCGAAAUAGAUAAAUAUAAGUAUGUUUUCCUAUUCGAGUUGAAUUAAUCAAGUAAAUCUCUUCUUCUCCUUAUUGUAUAUUUUCUAUACUGUACAAAAAGGAAAUAAUGUAGGUGAAUUUUUUUUAAGGUGUUCGAAUAUAUGCUAAAUUUUCAUAGCUUAAUCUGUUGGGUUUCUUUUCUGAGUUCUUGAAAGAUUAAGUUUUUUUUUUUUUUUUUUAUGAUGACUCUUUGGGCAGGAAUUAUGGUAUAUAGCCAACUUAUGUUGGUUCAUUGAUUGAAUGAUUCAUAUUGAGAUAUCAAGCUUUAUAGAAUAAGAUACUGAUAAAAGUAUGUAUUGUAUGUUUGUAUGUAUCUUAAUUUCAUAAAUUUAUAUAUCUUACCUACUUUUUAAAAAUUGCCCCUUUUAAACGACUUACAACAUUUGUAUUUUUAUUUAUUUUGUAUUUUUUAGAUUUAAUUUAGACUCUUCUAAAUUUUCCUUUUUGUGUUGUUUUUUGACAAUUAUUUUGUUGGUUGAUUAGAUUGAACUUGUGACAUGAAGGUAAAAUGAGAGAUUCAAUAUUUCCUUUGAUCUUUUAUUUUGUGAUUUACGCUAGGUUUCUCUUUCGUCUAGAUCUUGUUAGUUUGGUCAUUCCAUUUUCUAUUUCGCAAGGAUUGUUUAAAAGUCUUUGUUUUCUAUGUUGUUUUCAAUUUGUAUUUUCUUUCUUGUUUUAGACUGUUGGCUCAAAAAACAUUCUUCUUUAUGACUUGAUUUGUUUUUUUUAAUCGUAUGACUUGGAUUUUGAAUUUCAUAAUUUAGGAAUAUGUGGAUAGGCAAAAACAUAAAUAAAUAGGAAUAUUGGGUCGUUCUGUAAACUGGAAGAACUCUAGGGGUAGCAAAUCCAAAUUUCGCUUCUAGUUUCUCUCCUCCUCGUCUUGCCUUGUUUCCUUGCAAUUUUAUUUUGAUAACAAAAAGCCCCUCCUCUCUCUCUCUCUACCCCACCCUUCUCUCUCUAAGCUAGCUCCUUCAAACCCUAACGACGAGAGCAGUCGCUAUCGGCGACGUGAUUCUCAGGUUUCUCCUUGUAAUUCUGGAAGGACGACGGCGAAGAAUCUCCGCCGCGGAUUUAGUCUUCAUCGACGAUCGCUGCGCCACUAUUGUUUUCUCCAAUUUCUUCUCAAUAUGUCCAUCCAUUGUUUUUGAUUUUGGUCAUCUGGCCUGAAUCCGAAUUUUGGCUGUGAAGAAGAGCGGCAGAGUCACUGGUUAUUCCGGGAGCACCUGUAAGAUUUAUUUCCCUUUUUCAAAGAUUUUUUUUUUGUUUUUUUUUUAUUUCUGAAGCUCUCUGGGUUCUUAAAAACCCUAAGUUUCUGCUGAUUGCUGUUACUAUUCUGGAGUUAGCUUAACUGGUUAGGGGUUUCGAGUUGUUGUGUGAAUUAGGAGCUUAAUCAAUAGCAUAUGCGAAGCAUGAAACCAUAGUCUGUUGGAUCUCGAGAGAGAUAAUUGUUGGUUUAUAAUCACUAAGGGGAAGAUGAGACUUAGGUAGUUGUUGUACGGCAUUGAUUGCACAUUACAUCGUUAGGGUAUCGUUUGGUCUAUUAUUCUUUGUUGUACAGUAAUCUGAUGGACACUACAUUGUAUCAGAGUCUUGUAUGAGCGACAAGAAGCUCUGCAUUAUCCAAGUGGAUCGAUGGAAAUUUCCGUUUCCUCUCCAAAGCAAAGUGUGUUAUCUCCACCCGAUUGUAUGAGUGACCCUGAGGAGCAUGAGAUCAGCGAAGAGGAGGAUGACGAUCGCAACCAUAAGCACCGUAGGAAAGAAGAGACGAGGUCUCAGUCCUUGGAACAAGAUUCUUCAGACCAGACAUUCUCACGGCCGUACAGGAAAAAUUAUAGACAUUUUGAAAAUGGCAAUACGUUUAGUGAACAUGAAAAGCGGUCUCAAGGGGCAGCGUCAGGACAACGUGUGCAGUUUGAUAAUCAAAGAACAAGAUCUAACCCAAUGUUUUCAAGGGACACUGGUCCUGGUAGAGGUAGAGGAAGUUAUGGCUCUUGGAACCAGCGUGAUUCCAGGUUUAAUCCUGUUGAUCUCUCAUCUCAUAUGGUUCCGGGCAUGUUUGGAGGAAGGGGACUAGCUGGUGUUUCAGCUGCUCAAAGUGCACGAUGGCCUGCUUUUGGAAUGCUUCCUGGAGUUCCAAAUGGUGGCUUGGAUGGUUUCCAUCACUUAACUGGAUCCCUAAGACCACCAUUAAAUGCUUCACUUAACAUGGGUAUUCCUCGGCAGCGAUGCAGAGACUUUGAGGAACGUGGUUUCUGCCUCAGAGGGGACAUGUGUCCGAUGGAGCAUGGAAUCAAUCGUAUUGUUGUCGACGAUGUUCAGGUAUGUUUUCAUGAAUUAUUUGUUUUGGAUCGGAUUUUAAUUGAAAGACACAAUAGAUCCUUGAGGCUUUGCUGGAAAUUUGAUAACUGUUUGCAUGAUCCUAUCUAUACUGAUUUUCUUGAUUAAGUUGCUAGUAUUGUGACCAUUUUAUGCCCUUCAGCAGUACUUCUGGGUGACAUAAAAUUAAACUCUUUAAUGUUUUCAGUGUUAGCUCUACGUGGCAUGGCUCUACUUUAUUCUGAAUUUUAGAUGCAUAUUAUCUUGAUUCUCAAAUAGCAAAUACUUUGUAUUGCAUGAUAAAUUUCGUAUGACUACUAUUUUGUUACACUGUUCUUCUCUUGUGUAUACUUAAGUGAUUAAAUUUCCUUCAUUUUCCAUUUGUGCAGAGUCUAUCACAGUUCAACCUUCCCGUUUCAGCCCCUGGUGCACCUCAUCUGGCAGCUUCUUCUAAACCAGUGCCUGCACAGUUUGGGUGUGCUAAUUUCAUGAAUACUAAAGGAGCUCAUGGGAAGAUUAACGAGGGUGGAAUGGCUGUUGAUGGCUUGGGUUAUGGUGAUGCAUAUCCUAGUGUAGGUGGAACUGAUUUUUACGAUCCUGAUCAACCUUUGUGGAAUAACAGUGCUGGUGAAACAUCUGGGGCAUUAUCUGCACUAAAUCCUCAUGGGAUUGAUGAGAAUGUAGCUCUGGAUGACAAUAACCAAGAUGGUCCUGAAAAUGCGUGUGGUAUUCGAGACUCCAAAAGCACAAGUCAAUCGGUUUGGGGCAGAAUGCGUGGUUCUAAUAGUCAAGCAAAUUUUAAAGAGAAAGCUAAUGCAGUAUUAAAUUCAUCAGCUGGUCUUGAUGAUCAAUUGAAGGAAGUCUCAGUAAAUUCAUCCCGCCACGGUAAACAAAACCAUGUUGGUGAAAGUGUCUCAAAUGAUGCGAUGAACAAUACAAGAAAACCAGCGCAAAAGGCAAUGCGGACUCUAUUUGUGAAUAAUGUUCCCCACGAGAGCAACAGAAGGGACCUCAUUCUUGCCCAUUUCCAGAAAUUUGGGAAAGUUAUUGACAUUCACAUCCCAAUAAAUAGUGAGCGAGCAUUUGUUCAGUUCUCGAAACGCGAAGAGGCUGAAUCUGCUCUCAGGGCACCUGAUGCUGUGAUGGGUAACCGCUUUAUCAAACUUUGGUGGGCAAAUAGAGAUAGUAUACCUGAUAAUGGGCUGUCCACUGGCAAUGGUGCUCCGAUGAAAGGUCGUGGUAUGACUGCUUCUGGAGGGCAGAACCAGCUUCCUAUUGCUUCAGCAUCAAAAAGCAACCAUGCAUCUUCCAUUGCAAAAGGCCCCGCCUUUCACACCGGUGGAGCUCCAUCAUCCUCUGAACAGCCUAAGUCUGUGGGGGUCACUAGUGGUCCCAAGGUUACUCCGCUUCAGCAGAAAAAAGCAGAAACUCUUGAGCAGUUGAAGGAGGAACUUCGAAAAAAGCAGGAAAUACUGGAGCAGAAGCGUAAUGAGUUUCGCAAAAAGUUGGCGACGUAUCAAAAACAAGUAAGAACAAGUUACUAAAUCCCUUCAACCCCGUCAAUACCUUUUUGAGGGAAAUUACAGUUUAAGCAGUCACUAGAAAAUUAAGCAGAAGUAGAAGUAUGAGAUUCAUAUCAUAUUGCUCUAAAUCUUAUUUACUCGGACAAUAUUCAUAUCAUUUUGCUCUAAAUCUUCUCAGGGUACGGUUGUCAAGUGUGAGGAAGCAGAUGAGCCAGAUGCUAAGCGCGUUAAAGUAGACACAGCCUCUAGUUCUGGUGCCGCAAUCUCAUCACCAAAAACAGAGUCAUCAACAGAUAAGAAAGUGCCUAUCCAGAAACCACUGUCUACUGCUAAACUAAGCACAGAAACGCAAUCACCCGAUUCAAAAAUCUUGAAGCAAAGACCUUAUUCAUUUACCACAAGUUUGAACACUCUUAUGGUAAAUAGGUAUAAGUUAGACAACCGCACCACUACCAUCAAAGUGGUUCCUCCUCUGCCAACCGGGUUAGCCGAUGUACGAUCCCUUUCUUUGCUCUACUUUAUGAAUGUGCAAAACUUUCCCAUUUUUCAAAUUAGAUACUAUUGAACUCUACCGGUAUUAUUAGGUCACUUACUGAUGGUUUGAACUACUUUCUACUUCUAGGUUGCUGUCUUAAAGGAACAUUUUUCUUCUUAUGGCGAAGUCUCAAAAGUGGAACUUGAAGGCAGUGCAUCAAUUGAUAGUGGCAAGAAUCAAGAUGAAACAUAUAACGAAAACUGUGGAGCUUGUGUCACAUUUGUGAAACGCAGCGCAGCCGAGAAAGCGUUUGCUAAUGCAAAGUGCUGGCAAGAACACAUGUUGCAGCUCGUGUGGGUAACACGUCAAAGCAACCAAAAGAAUAAUAGUAGCAAUACUAAUAAUAAUCUCUCAGCUUCUCGUGACCACCUUAGCAGCAAAAACAAGCCCACUUCUUCUGUUUCUAAUGACCCUAAACCAGCAGAUGAAGUCAAAGCCUCCUCCUCUACGGAAGAACCAGAGAACACAAACGUCUCUGGAGAAGAAAAUUCUGUGGAUGAACGAGAACGAGAGGCCAAUGAAAGCGACAAUGGCAACCAUAAAAGUAACAGCGAGUCCAUUGAAGGAGCUUCUAAAGAGAUUGCGGCGUCAGGUACCAAUGAAGAACAGUUGGAACAGAGAAAUGAUUAAGUUGGGAAAGAAGAUUCGUCAGUGAGGUCAACUUUUGUCGCAGAAACAUAUUUUUUUUUGUUUGAUCUGGUAUUAGUGUUGUUUUCUCCGUUUUAGGCUCUUUAGCCAAUUCGUGAGACGUUAAUAUUUGUUGGUAGCAAAGAGAUAUAUAUUUAUAUAUCUAAGUUUUUUUUUUCCUUUUUGUUGGAUAGAAUGUGACAAUAAGAAAAAAGAGAAACGAAAAAAGAAGUGUAUAUGUUACAUUUGGCCUUCCAAAGAACAGUGGUUGGGUACAAUUUCGAAUUCUGUUGUACAUACAUAGUUGAAUUUGGACACUUGCUUUAGCCGAGACGAAAAAUAGUGUGGAAUCUAUAAACGGCACGCAUUUUGAAAGUUUAUCCAAUGUUCGCAUUUUGAAAGUUUAUCCAAUGUUCGCAUUUUGAAAGUUUAUCCAAUGUUUAUCCUUAUUUUGUUUGCUAAGAUCGAUUCUUGGAACUUGGAAGUAUAUUAUUUCUUUUAAUUUUCAAAUUUAUUUAAGUCUAUUGUAGAAAAACGAGAUUGAAAGUCGAUGAUUCUCUUAGGAAAAAAAAAGAAGGAAAUUCGUGAAUCUCGAUAGUGACACAGCCGUUCACAAAUUUCUUGUUCAAAAUGACAAACGAGACAAGAGCCUCAAAGCUGAUGAGAAUUUCUUUGAUCAAGCAAUAACUUUGAACCAACAGACUCAAACAGUUUCAUGCAUUACAUGUUUAAAGAGAUAAGAUAUACAUAAAUUUUUCAAAUCAAAUUCUAUUUUCCAGGGACGAAGUUGGUGGCGUAAGACCAGGCAUUGUUAGCCACAGGGUCCGCAAGAUGAUCGAAGAGAUUCUCGAUCGGACCUUUACCAGUAACAAUGGCUU
rnacentral:lncRNA from 1 species